rnacentral:rRNA from 1 species
AUGUUCUCGUCGCAAUCUGCAAGCCGCAUCAACAACAUCAUAACAUCCCUCAUCAACGCGCAGAAGGGGAACCUCCCCGUCGCCUCCUACUUCGCCGCCAUGCGCGGCUACGCCAACGAGCUAGCCGCCGUGGGCAAGGCGAUCCCCGACGACGAACUCGCCUCCUACAUCAUCCACGUGCCCGACGCCGACUAUCAGCCCCGAGUCUCUGCCCUCGACGCUCGCGUCACCCAGGUAACCCUUGAUGAACUCUUUGCCAUGCUAUCCAACUUCGAUCAGCGCAUGGCUCAGUUCCAAGGAUCUGGAGGCGACGGCUUCAAAUCAUCCGCCAACGUUGAUGGGGUCAUGUACCUAGGGUAG